rnacentral:rRNA from 1 species
GGGCUAAACAUGCAAGUCGAGCGGUAGCACAAGGGAGCUUGCUCCCUGGGUGACGAGCGGCGGACGGGUGAGUAAUGUCUGGGAAACUGCCUGAUGGAGGGGGAUAACUACUGGAAACGGUAGCUAAUACCGCAUAACGUCUUCGGACCAAAGUGGGGGACCUUCGGGCCUCACGCCAUCAGAUGUGCCCAGAUGGGAUUAGCUAGUAGGUGGGGUAAUGGCUCACCUAGGCGACGAUCCCUAGCUGGUCUGAGAGGAUGACCAGCCACACUGGAACUGAGACACGGUCCAGACUCCUACGGGAGGCAGCAGUGGGGAAUAUUGCACAAUGGGCGCAAGCCUGAUGCAGCCAUGCCGCGUGUGUGAAGAAGGCCUUCGGGUUGUAAAGCACUUUCAGCGAGGAGGAAGGGUGAUGUCUUAAUACGGCAUCGCAUUGACGUUACUCGCAGAAGAAGCACCGGCUAACUCCGUGCCAGCAGCCGCGGUAAUACGGAGGGUGCAAGCGUUAAUCGGAAUUACUGGGCGUAAAGCGCACGCAGGCGGUUUGUUAAGUCAGAUGUGAAAUCCCCGCGCUUAACGUGGGAACUGCAUUUGAAACUGGCAAGCUAGAGUCUCGUAGAGGGGGGUAGAAUUCCAGGUGUAGCGGUGAAAUGCGUAGAGAUCUGGAGGAAUACCGGUGGCGAAGGCGGCCCCCUGGACGAAGACUGACGCUCAGGUGCGAAAGCGUGGGGAGCAAACAGGAUUAGAUACCCUGGUAGUCCACGCUGUAAACGAUGUCGAUUUGGAGGUUGUGCCCUUGAGGCGUGGCUUCCGGAGCUAACGCGUUAAAUCGACCGCCUGGGGAGUACGGCCGCAAGGUUAAAACUCAAAUGAAUUGACGGGGGCCCGCACAAGCGGUGGAGCAUGUGGUUUAAUUCGAUGCAACGCGAAGAACCUUACCUACUCUUGACAUCCAGAGAACUUUCCAGAGAUGGAUGGGUGCCUUCGGGAACUCUGAGACAGGUGCUGCAUGGCUGUCGUCAGCUCGUGUUGUGAAAUGUUGGGUUAAGUCCCGCAACGAGCGCAACCCUUAUCCUUUGUUGCCAGCGAUUCGGUCGGGAACUCAAAGGAAACUGCCCGUGAUAACCGGAAGAAGGUGGGGAUGACUUCAAUCAUCAUGGCCCUUACAAAUAGGGCUACCACCUGCUACAUGGCGUAAACAAGAGAACCAGCUCCCAGAACAACCGACCUCAAAAGUAGGACGA